rnacentral:Y_RNA from 1 species
GGCUGGUCCAGAGGUAGUGAGUCCUCUCACUUGAUUGUUCAGUCAGUUACAUAUUGGACUAUUCAUUCUACCCUUUCCCCCCUUCUCACUACUGCACUUGACUAGUAAAA